GGAUUCCCUGUCCCUAAGCCAGAGCUGAUCUCCCAGCUGGAGCAAGGCGAGGAGCUGUGGGUCAUGGAUCUUCUGGGGGCUGAAGAAUCAGAGGUCUUGAGAAACUGCCGAACAGGUGAGAAUGGGCAGGAGGCUAACCCUAAGAACCCCCCUCCCAGUUCUACACUCACUGCAGCAGUGAGGGCGGUUGGGUUGUUGUGCUUAGUCCAACCGCUCCAAGAGCAGAUGUAGUCACCACAGACAUGUGGCAUGUGCUCCUUGUUUACAAGGGCUUCCCUUACUGCUCCAUUUGCUUUACUCUAGAAAAUGUAUGCAGUGCCCAGUGCCCGUUGUAUGCGUUUUGUGGCACCUUCAUUCUCUUCUUUACAUAAUACUCUUUCUUGCUGGCUUUCUUUUGACAGUAGCUAUGGGUUGCCUGUCAUGUCCUUUUCUUCUUCACCUUUUCUUUCCUCUAACUCAGUUUGGUCAGUAGUAUUCUCUCUCUUUCCUUCUUGAGACCUGUGUCCUCAUGUGCACAUGCUUUUGCUCUCUCGCUAUCAGUGUAUUGUGGGCUGGUCUUGAAUUUAUGGACUCAAGCUUCCUACUGCUUCGGCUCCUGAGUGAAGUCACAGUUCCUGGGUCAAUAGUAUUUUUUUAUUUUUUUGGUACAGGGGAUUGAACCCAGGGGCACGCAACCACCAAACCGCCUCUCCCCAUCCUAUUUUGUAUUUUAUUUACAGACAGGGUCUCACUGAGUUGCUUAGUGCCUCACUUUUGCUGAGGCUGGCUUUGAACUCACAAUCCUCCUGCCUCAGCCUCCUGAACCACUAGGAUUACAGGCAUGAGCCACCGUGCCCAGCAAUAAUAUUUUUUUAAAUGUGUACUUUUUUCUGUUGGAUCCAGCUUCUCUACUUUUUUCAUCAGCUACUGAGGCUUGUUAUGCUUUCUACCUUUUUCUCCUCCUUCCUCUCUAUUUUUUUUUUUGUUAUUUUAUUGCUCUACACUGUCAGAACAUGUAAUUCCUUUACCCUUUACUAUUACUCCUAGCCCCACCUUUGAUGUUGUUGUUUUUUGCUGUUAAGUAUAUAUUUUUUUUACCUUUUAGUUAAUUGUUGAACCUUUUACCAGAAAUUUCUGCAUCAUUUCUCUGUUGGCUGGAGCUUGUCUUCCAGUUACUCAGAAAGACUCUUGUAAAUAAUAUGCCCCAAAUUUAUGCACAUUGAAGCCUUUUGCUUCUGGCAGUGGGUGCUAAAAUUGUUGACUUGCGAUGCUUCUUUUUGUAGAAAGGUGGAGUUAUAAGACUGAAAGCAUGGCUGUAGUUCCAGUUUGGAAAAUUUUAAUGUUAUAUUUUUGUCAUCAUUUAGUCCAAGAUAUUAUGUUUUGUGAUUUCUUUGACCCAAUGAUUAGUUGGAUGUGUGUUACUUUUCAAAACAAUUGGUACUUUUCUAUUUCUUAUUGUUGUUGACUUGUCAUUUAAUUCUACCAGGGUCAGGGAACCUAUUCUUGUAUAAUUUCAUUCUUCUCGUUUUUGCUUGCUCUUGUUUUAUGACUCUAGGAUCUCUCUCAGUAAGUAUCUGCGUGCAUGUAAAAAGGGUGGGUUCAAUGGGCUGCAGCUGGGGCUCAGUGGAAGAGCACUUACCUAGCACAUUCGAGGUGCUGGGUUCUAUCCUCAGCACCACAUAUAAAAUUAAUUAAUUAAUUAAUUAAUUAAUUAAAGAUUUUUUUUAAAAAAAGGGAUAGGUUCAAGUAGCAAUUAAGUCAAGGUGCUUCAUGGUACCAUUUAGAUAUCCCCCAGCCCUUUGCUCAUUUUAUGUGUAGUUAUUUUAUUUAUGUAUUUAUUUAUUUAUUUUUUGGGGGGGCGGUACUGGGGAUUGAACUCAAGGAUACUCAACCAUUGAGCCACAUCCCCAGCCCUAUUUUGUAUUUUUUAGAGACAGGGUCUCACUGAGUUGCUUAGCACCUCGAUUUUGCUGAGGCUGGCCUUGAACUCUUUAAUAUUUUUUUAGUUGUAUAUGGACACAAUACCUUUAUUUUAUUUUUAUGUGGUGCUGGGAAUCAAACCCAGUGCCUCACUCAUGCUAGGCAACUGCUCUACCACUGAGCUACAAACCUGGCCCUGGCCUUGAACUCUUGAUUCUCCUGCCUUAGCCUCCUGAGCCCCUGGGAUUACAGGCGUACACCACCACACCCAACAGUGUAGUUAUUCUUUAGUUACUAAGAGAAGGUGUUAAAAUACCCACAUGUGAUUGUGGAAUUGUCUUGUCUUUAAUUUUCUCAGUGUCUGGUUCAUGUACUUUGAAGCUGUGUUAUUUGUAUUAUUUUUACUUCUAAUCAUCAUUUUUAGGGAUAAGAGGAUCCCUUAUCAUCUCUGGUAAUAUAUUUGGUUCUGACUAUAUUUCAUCUGAUAUGUCAUAGCAGUUCUAGCCUUAGCCUUAUUCUUUUUUUUUUUUUUUGGUACUGGGGGUUGGACUCAGGCACUCAACCAACCCCCAAGCCACAUCCCCAGUCCUUUUUAAAUUUUUUUUUAAACUUUGUUUUAUUUGUUUAUUUAUUUUUUUAUGUGGUACUGAGGAUUGAACCCAGGACCUUGCACGUGCCAGGCGAGCCCUGUACCACUGAGCCUUUUUAAAAAUUUUUUAUUGUCAUAGAGGGAUAACAUGCCUAUAUUUUUAUUUUUUUAGUACAGUGCCUCACCUGUGCUAGGUAGGCAGUCUACCACUAAGCUAUAGCCCCAGCCCCUUAUCUUUUAAUUGUAGUGCUUAAUCUAUUAAUAUUUAAUGUCUCGUUGUGUGUGUGUGUGUGUGUGUGUGUGUGAGAGAGAGAGAGAGAGAGAUAAUGGGGAUGGAACCCAGGGCCUUAUGUGUGACAAGCAAGCACUCUACCACUGAACCACAUCUCCAGCCCUUUUUUUUUUUUUUUUUAAUUUGAAACAGGGUCCUUUUUUAUUUCUCUUUUUUGCCUUUCAUGUACUAAUUCAUUAUAAAUCUCAACCAUCCCUUCCCUCCUUUAUGGUAAAGUUAUAUGUAAUAUAUCUGUGUACAUUUGAGACAAUAUUAUAAUUUUCUUUUUAAAUCGUCAUAGAUGAUUAACAGCAGAGUUAUGUCCUGAUGAACCCAUCAUAAGUUGGAAAUCACUUAGUGCAUCUAACCUACCAAACAUGCCAGCUUAGCAGCACAGCACACUGGAGAGUACAGUUGUUGCCCUGUGAUCUUGUGGCUGCCUGGGAGUUGUGACUUCUGCCACUGCCCAGCAUUGCAAGAGAGAUCAUAGUGCCCAAGAAAAGAUUAAAAAUUCAAAAUAAUAUAGUUUCUAUUGAAUAUAUAUCACUUUGUGCUGUCAUAAGAUUGAAAAAGUCUUAUGCAAAACCCUGGGAAGUUAGUGCUGUACUUUGAAUCUGCAUUAUCCCUCAAAGGUCAACGUGUAAAAGGCUAAACUGAGGAGCCAUUGGGAAGUUGGGCUUGGGGGAAGAAGCAAGGUCAGUGGGAGAAUGCCACUGGAGAGUCUCUGGGACCCACGCCAUCCUAUCUGUUUUGUGCCUGGCCGCCAUGGAGUAAACAGGCUGCCAUGCUAGGCUCCUGCCACAAUGCGUACUGCUGCCACAGGCCCAGAGCACAAGCCAAGUGACUAUGGGCUAAGACUUCUGAAACUGUGGCCAGAAUAAGUGUCUCCUCCAUUUACCUAUCUAAGGUAUUUCAUCACAGUAAUGAAAACCUAACAGUUGAGGAACCAUUUAUAUGUAGUUUAUGAAAAAAUAAAAGAAAAAAAAUAGACUUUUUGCUGUCUCGACAUGUAAGGAGCUUAGAAGUUGCUGCGGGAUUCUAACAAGUAAAGAACUGAACAAACUGGAAAAUCAGUGACUCUUGGAUCAAUCAGAGUUGAGGUCCCAGGGCAAACCACUGCACCCAAAUUGGAUAGGCAACACAGUCAUGAUUUGUGAACAGGAACCUCCAGGGGAAAUGGUGCAGGUAGGAAACCUGAAGAGAAAUGGACAAAUUGACAAAAGCUCAGUGUGGACAAGUCUGAGCUAUAAAAAUGACAGGAGACCUGUCAUGGAGGCUCAUAAACAUUUGAGGGUUUUUUGUUUUUUGUUUUACCGCCAGAAAUGUGAUGAAUCCCACAGUGAACAUUGGGGGAAAUCUCCUUAUGCUUCUGGCAGGGGAAAGGGAAAAGAAACUUCUGAAAUAUGUCAGAGCACUAUUCCUCACGAAGCUGUUCUCUAGAUAGAUGGCCUUGCCAGAGCCUGCCUGACCUGAGCAAGGAAGCUCCCAGCCCAGCACUCUGUUCUCCCUGACCUUGUGAGGGCCCUGGAGCACAGGCUUAUGGUGCUGCAUGCCUCAUUGCACAGCCAACAUGGCAGCACUGAGGCAUGGGUGCCGCAGCUCCCUUACCCAGCUUGUCACAUCUGCCUUUUAACAAAGACCUGUAAGACACUGAAAGAAAAAUGCAGUGUGGAGAGACUGAACAAACAUUAGAAUGAGAGUCAUAACUGGCAAGAGUGUUGGAAUUACCAGAUCAGGGAUUUUUUUUAAAACUAAUAUGACUAAGGCUUUAGUGGAAAAUGUAUGAUGUACAGAAACAGAUAUAUAAUAUAGGCAGAGAGAUUGAAAUUCUAAAAUAGAAUAAAAAAUGCUAGAAAUGAAAAACACUAUAAUAGUAGUAAUGACAGAUGCCUUUGAUGACUCACUAAUAGACUGGUCAGGGUUUUGAGUAUAAUGUUAUUUGAAGGCACACUUGGAUUAGUUGUAAGUGUAGAUAGAAAACCAAUUAAAAACAAAAGUACAAGACAAGUAUAAUGAAUAUGGCGACAAGGAGACAAAGUGGAGUAAUAGAAAAUACUCAAAACCACAAAAUAAGUAGCCCAGUGAUAGAGCAUUUGUAUAACAUGUGUAAGACCUUAGGUUUGAUCCCCAGCAGUGAAGAAACCAUUUUUAAACCAGAAAAUGCAGAAAAAAGUAUAGAAGAUAAACAGGGACAAAGAUCAACUGUAAUAUAUAAAACAGGGACAAAUGUUGUCAAUAUUAAUUUCAACAAUAUUAGUCUUUUUUUUUUUUUUUUUUUUUUUUGCGGGGGUAUCAGGGAUUUAACUCAAAGGCGCUGGGCCACAUCCCCAGCCCUAUUUUGUAUUUUAUUUAGAGACAAGAUGUCACCGAGUUGCCUAGUACCUUGCUUUUGCAGAGGCUGGGAACUCUCCAUCCUCCUGCCUCAGCCUCCCUAGCUUCUGGGAUUACAGGUGUGUGCAAUUGUGCCCAACUCAACAGUCAUUUUAAAUGUCAGUGGUCAGCCAGGUGUGGUGGCCCACACUUGUAGUUCCCACUGCUUGGACUAAGGCAAGGAAAUUGCUUGAGCCCAGGAGUUCAAGGCCAGGCUGGGCAACAUAGUGAGACCCUGUCUUGUUGUUUUUUGUUUUUUUGUUUUGUUUGUUUGUUUUGUUUUGUUUUUUGUUUUUUUAAGGACAAAAAUAACCUUCAUUGAUCAGUAGAUGAUAGAGACCAUCCGAGUGGGUCAGAAGCAAGACCUAACUAUGUCUUCUACAAGAAACCUCUUAUAAACAUAAAAAUGCAUAUAGCUUAAAAGUAAAGACAUGGAAAAAGAUGCUAAUAGGAAUCAAAAAAAGAGGGAAUGUUUACAUUAUUUUCAGUCACAACAGACUUCUGAGCAAGGAAAGGCACCAGGAAGAGAGGAAUAAUGCAUAAUGGUAAGGGCUUUAUACAUCAAAAAGACAACAAUUCCUGAUGCACCUAACAGCAGCAACAGAAAACUAAAGGCAAAAUCUGAUAGGCCUGCUAGGGGAAAGAAAUGAGUCUAGUACUAUAGUUGGAGACUCCAGCUAUUGUCUCUAUCUACAAUGGACAGAUCCAUCUGCAGACACAACUGAGCUCAUUACCAUUCAUCACUGGGAUAGACAUCCACAGACUCCUUCAUCUAACAACAGCAGGUUUGUUCUGUUUUUAUGGUGCUGGUGAUCAAACCCAAGGCUUUUUGCAUACUGACCAAGUGCUCUACCCCUGUACUACACUGCCAGCCCGGAUUAUAGUCUUCUGAAGUUCACUUGGAAUGUUCACCAAGACAGACCAUAUUCUAUGCCUGAGCACACUUUGAUGUGUUUAAAAGGAUAGACUGCCAGAUGUGGUGGCACAUGCCUGUAAUCCCAGCUACUCAGGAAGCUGAUGUAGGAAGAUCACAAAUCUCAAAAACUGGGAUGUGGAUCAAUGGGUUUAAUCCCUAAUACUGAAAGAAAAUGUACAACAUGUGCUGUCAGACCACAGUGAUAUUAAAACUAGAAAUUAAUAACAAAAAUAUAGGUAGAAAAUUCUGAAAUUUUGGAGUAUAAAGAGCAUGCUUUUUUCCUCCCACCCCAGUACAGGGGGUUGAGCCCCAGGUGUUCCCCAGCCUUUUUUAUUUAUUUUUUUAAUCUUGAGACAACACUUAGUUGCCCAGGCAGGUCUUGAACUUGGGGUCCUCUUACCUCAGCCUCUCAUGUCACAGGGAUUAUAGGAUUACAUGCUCUGCUAUACAGCAUACUUCUAAAUAAUGUGUGAGUCAAAGAAGAACUCUGAAGAAAUUUUUAAAUAUUUUGAAUUAAAUGAAGAUAAUAUCACCUAGCAAAUUCUGUGGACUAGAGUGAAAACAUGAUGAGAAAUUCAGGUCAGUGAAUGCAUUUAUUGAAAAGAAGAUCUUAAAGUCCUAGCCAUGGUGGUGCAUACCUGUAAUCCCAGCAUCUUGGGAGGCUGAGGCAAGAGGAUUGUGAGUUCAAAGCCAGCCUCAGCAAUUUAGCAAGGCCUAAAGCAACUCAUGAGACCCUGACUCUAAAUAAAAUAUUAAAAAGGGCUGGGAAUGUGGCUCAGUAAUUGAGUACCCCUGGGUUCAAUCCCUGGUAUAAAAAAAAAAAAAAAGUCAAUAUUCUAAGCUUCUACCUCAGGAAACUAGAGAAAAGAAGAGAAAAUUAAAUCCAGAGUGAACAGAAGAAAAGAAAUAAUAAAUGUGAAAAUGAAAACAGGAAAUCUGGGCUGGGGAUUUUGGCUCAGUGUAGAGCGCUCGCCUAGCACAGGGGGGACGCAGGUUCGAUCCUGAGCACCACAUAAAAAUAAAGGCAUUGUGUUGUGCCCAUCUCCACCUAAAAAAUAUUAAAAACAAACAAACAAAACAUGAAAUCAGUAGAGAAAAAUCAAUAAAACCAGGAGUUGGUUCUUUGAAGCGAUCAAUAAAGUUGAUAAGCAUCUAUCUAGAUCAAGAAGGACAGAGAGAAUACAAAUCACUGAUAUCAGAAAUGAAUAGUUCUUGUGACAUGGAGAGGUCAAAAGGAUAUUAUAAACAGCACUUUGCUCACAAAUUGGAUAACUUAGAUGAAUUGAACUAAUUCCUUGGAAAAUCAAUCUCUCCAAACUCACUCAACAAUAAGUAGAUAAACUGAAUAGGUCUAUGUGUAUUAAAGAAAUUGAGUUAACAAUUAACCUUCCAAAACAGUUCCCUGGCUCAAAUGGGUUCAUUUGUGAAUUCUGACCCAUUUAAGUAUGAAAUUAUGCUAUUUUUUCUCCUCUUUUCCAGAGGAUAUAAAUACUUCCUGGCUCAUUCUAUGAUGUCAGCAUUAUCAUACGAGCAAAAUCAAAGACACUACAAGAAAAUAAAACAGUGGACAAAUAUGAAUAUGGAUGUAAAAGUUAUCAACAAAAUAUUAACAAAUCAGAUUCAGUAAUGUAUAAAAAGAACUAUACCAUGACUAAGUGAAGUUUAUCUUAGGUAUGCACAACUAGUUCAACAUUGAAACAUCAAUGUAGUUCACACUUAAGAAGAAAGAUCACAUGGUCAUAUCAAUAGAUACAGAAAAAGCAUUUGACAAAAUUCAACAUUCAUGAUAAAAACUCAGAAGGUUUGGGUAUAGAGGGGAGAUUCCUCAACUUGGUUUAAAAAAAAUACCUACAAAAAUUUUUAAUGGGAAAAAACUUGAAGCUUUUCCUCUAAGAUCAGGAACAAGGCCAGAACGACUCCUUUUACCACUGCUUUUCAACACCGUACAGGACGCUGUAGCUAAUGGAAUAAAGCAAGAAAAGGAAAUAAAGGCUAUUACAUAUUGGGAAUGAAGAAAUAUAACUGUUUACAGAUGACACCAUUGUCUAGGUGAUAGGCCAUCUAUGGAUAGGAAGACUCAAUAUUGUCAAGAUGUUAGUCAUUACAGUGGCCCACACCUGGAAUCCCAGCUACUCAGGAGACUGAGGCAGAAGGAUCGCAAGUUGGAAGCCAACAAUCUGGCCAGCUAGUAAGAAGCUUCUCAAAAAGGCUCUGGAUGUAGUUAAGUGAUAGAGCGCUUGCCUAGCAUGCCCAAGACUGGGUUUAAUCCCCAGUAACUGCGCAAAAAAAAAAAGAUGAAAAAAGUCACUUUUCCCAACUUGAUCUAUAAAUUCAACAUAAUUCCAAUUAAAAUCUCAGUAGGUUAUUUUGUGGAUGUCAAAAAACUUACUCUGGGGGGCUGGGGUUGUGGCUCAGCGGUAGGGCACUCGCCUAGCAUGUGCAAGGCGCUGGGUUCAAUCCUCAGCACCACAUAAAAAUGAAUAAAUAAAGGUAUUGUGUCCAACUACAACUAAAAAAAAAUAUUUUAAAAAAAUGACUCUGAGGUUUAUAUGGCAAGGUAAGAGACCUAGAAUAACUCACUCAGUAUUGAAGGAACGGCACAAAAUCAAAAUCGGACUCAUACCAUCUGAUUGCAAGGUUCACUGUACAGCUACAGUUAUCAGGGCAGUGUGGUACUGCUGAAGAAGUAGACACAGACUAUUAAAGCAAAAUAGAGAGCCUGUAGUUAUCAGAUGAUCGCAUGCGAAGAAAACGAAUGUAGAUGCCCUCUACCAGAGGCGCACCAUGAUCCCAGCACUGAGGAGGCUGAAGCAGGAGGAUUGCAAGUUCACUUGGAUCCUGUCUCAAAAAUAAAGGUCUGGGGUGUAUUUAGUGGUAGAGCAUCCUUGAGUUAAAUCCCAGUACCACACACAAAAGACCCAUUAAGUCCCAAGUUUUAGGGCUGGGGCUAGGACUCAGUGAUAGAGCACUCACCUAGCAUGCACAAGGUACUGGGUUUGAUCCUUAGCACCACAUAAAAAAUAAAGUGAUCAUUAAAAAAAAAAGUCCCAAGGUUUUAGUUCUGUGAUGGUGUCAAUGAAAUUAAAACAGGUUCAUUGAGAUAGGUUGGAAAUCAUAAUCUAGACUUUACACAUAGUUAUAUUAAUCUUAAUGUUAUAUAUUACAUAAUUUUAUAAUUCCAUCUAAGUGUUUAUUGGUAUUCCACAUCUGGAAUACUGGGACAAAAUGGGUUCAGCAAGUCGUAGUCUGCUCAUACUUAGUCUGCAGCUGUAACAAAAUGCUAUAAAAUGAGUGCUUAAACAGAAAUUCAUUUUCUCACAGUUCUGGAGGUUGGAAGUCUGUCAGUUUGUCCGUUUUUGGUGAGGAUUCUCUUGCUAUCUCACAGAUGAUUAUCUUCUCACUGUGUCCUCAUCUGGUAGAGAAAAGAAAUCUUCUGGUCUCUGUUAAAAGGGCACUAAUCCACUAAUGGGGCCCCACUCCCAGUUAUCUUUCAAAGGCCUCAUCUCCAAAUGCCAUUGAAAGUUAAGACUUUAAAUAAGCUGAAGGUCACAGUUCAGUCCAUAGCAGACUUCAUAGCCCUAAAUAUAAAACUUCUAGAUGAUAAGAGAAAAUGUAGAUUUGAGCUUGGGUUCUAUAGUAAGUUUGGGAAUGUGACAUCAAAAGCAUGAUCCAUAAAGUAAAUGGUUGAUAAGCUAGAUUUCAUUAAGAUUAAAAACUAAUGCAGUUGGGUAUGGUGAUGCACAUCUGUAAUCCCAGCAACUCAUGAGGCUGAGGCAGAAAGAUCACAAAUUCAAGGUCAGCCUGUGUAAGUUAGCAAGACACUAUCUCAAAAAAGUCUGAGGAGGGGCUGGGGUUGUGGCUCAGUGGUAGAGCACUCACCUAGCAUGUAUGAGGCCCUGGGUUCGAUCCUCAGCACCACAUAAAGAUAAAUAAAUAAAUGUAUUGUGUCCAUCUACAACUAAAAGAUAUUAAGAAAAAAAAAAAAGGCUGAGGAUGAAGGUCAGUUGUAGAGCAUUCCUGGGUUCAAUCACCACUACCAAAACCAAAAACUUUCACAAAAGACAGUAAGAAUUUUCAGACUCAAGAGAUGUGUCCAUCUACAACUAAAAAAAAAAGACGAAAGGCCUGAACAGACACCUGGCCAAAGACACACAGAUGGCAGGCCUGUGUAAAGAUGCUGCUUGUUGUGUCACUAGAAUGCAAGUUAGAGCCACAGUGAGAUGCCACUGCAUGCUUUUUUAGAAUGGCACAUCCAGGAAGUUGACAGCACCCAGUAUCAGCGAGGAUGGGGAACAGCGGAAUGUGCCUUCAUCGCUGUUGAAAUGCACGGUGUUGUGGCUGCCACGGAAGAUGCUGGCCAGUAUCUUACAGAAGUGCACACACAAGAUCACAUUCACAGUCUUGGUGUUUAUCCAAAGUGAACUGAAAAUUCAUGUUCACACAAACCCUGUACACAAAUUUUAUGAGCACUUUAUUCAUAAUUGCUAAAAGUUGGAAGCAACCAAGAUAUUCUUUAAUAGAUGAGUGGAAUGGGAUGAUAUGUGGGGCUAAAAAGAAGUGAGCUUACCAAGCUAUGAGGAGCUGUGAAGGAGUCUUAGUGUGCAUGACUAGGGGAAAGAGGCAGCUUGAAAGGUUGCGUGUGUAUUCCAGAAUGACGCUCCUGCAAAGUUGAAACUGUAGACGCAAGAAAAAUACAAAUGGGUACCAGGAAAUGGAAGAGGGGUGGGUGCACAGAGAGACUUGGGGACAGGGGGACUCUGGUAGUGCAGUGGUGGAUCCAGCAUGCAUUGUCAGCACCCAGGGACUGCAACACAAGAGCAGCCCCGUGGUGGCUGUGGACUCCAGGUGGUGUGUCCCUGUGGGUUCAUCCAUUCUGACACUUGUACCACCCUGAUGCAUGAUUUCCUGAGCACAUGUUAAGAUUCAGGGUGAACUUGUGCCUUCCUCCAGGCACCACGUAUUCUGGGGUUUUCUUUGGGAAAGCACACAUCAUUGGGAGGUGAGACACGGGUCAGGAAUUGAAAUUUUAUUCUCAUAGAUCUGGGGAUACCCCAAGGCCAUACAGGCUAGUCAGCAAGAAGGGCAAGGGGUGGGGACCUGGAGCAUCUACCAUUAGGGUCCAGGGUAUGGGCAGAAGCAUGGACCGGAGAGAAGUUCCAUGCUGAUGGCUUAGUCCUCUUGUGCAUUUAGUCAGGCAGCUGGUAGGGUUGGGGCUUGAAGCAGUGAUCUUGUGACCCCACGAAUCAGAGGGAGUAGUUGGAGAGCUUGGGUUGGACAGGGCUACGGUGGAUCCAUGUACUCCAGAGAGCCUUGUGUCAAAAGUUUGGUGCCCUGGGUAGCACAGUUGGGAGGUGGGGGCUUGUGGGACCCUACCAGUACUCUCUGCUUCCUUGCUCCUGGUGUAAGCAGUUGGCUCUGCCACACACUUCUGCCAUUUCCGUCUGGUGCCCUCACUAGAGGGCCAAAGCAAGAGGUCUGCCUGAUCUUGGACUAGAACCUCCAGAACCACGAGCUAAAUAAAAAUGCUAUCUUUAUAAGUUAAUUGCCUCAGGUAUUUUGUUAUAAUAACACAAAGCUCACCAAUACAGGCUAUUAGCUAAAAACGUGUUAUGCCGGCAUCAAGGAACUCAUGUGAGUAAAAGAAUGGAGCUGGGUAUGGUGGCACAUGCUUGUAAACCCAGUGACUAAGGAGGCUGAGGCAGCGGAAUUGCAAGUUUGAGUCCAGCCUGGGCAACUUAGACCCUGUCUCAAAAAAGGCAUAGGGGUAUAGUUUAGUGACGGUGUCCCUGGGUUCAAUCUCCAGCACAAGAUCAAAAUCAGAAUUAAUACUGAAGCACUCUGGGCAUGGUGGUACAGGCCUGUAAUCCCAGCAGCUCACGAGGCUGAGGCAGAAGGAUCACAAGUUCAAAGCCAGCCUCAGCAAUGGUGAGGCACUAAGCAACUCAAUGAGACUCUGUCUCUAAAAUACAAAAUAGGGCUGGGGAUGUGGCUCAGUGGCUGAGUGCCCCUAAAUUCAAUCUCUGGUCCCCCCACCACCCCGCCAAAAAAAAAAAAAAAAAAAAGCUGAAGCAGCACAGAAAUGUCGCCCUUUCUGCGCCAUCUAAGCUGUCUGGAUUUGCAAAUGUUCUAUGAUAUUAAAUUAUUUUCAUCUUAUAUUUUUUUCUUUGCAAUGCUGGGGGUUCAACCCAGGGCCUCAUGCAUGCUAUGCUAGGCAAGUGCUCCACUGCCAGCCAUAUCAUUAGCCCUCAUCUAUUUUUAUCUGCAUGUUAUUUAUUACCCAAUAUAUUAGGAUAAUGAGCCUAUGAGCAAAUAAAAUCUCAAUUCUCCACCUUGUGUCUCUUUUUUGAUGGGUUUUAAGUAGCAUUCUAUUAACAGUUACAUGCAAGCAAGUUGUUACUAGGUUACCUAGUAUCAUAUGCUUUGGGGGCCUGACACCUAGCAUUCAGACUAAUGCCAGUUUGCCAGGUUUUUCCUCUCACAGUGAGCUAUCAGUCACGAUUCUGGGUUAUCUAAAAUUUAUGGGUAAUGCUUUCCUCCAGCAUCUUGUUAAGGAUUUUAUGUAGUGAGCACAUCCCUCCACCAUCUGGAUGCUACUGGCAUUUCCCUUGGCCAUGCUAAAUUUUUUUUUAGAAGAUUUUUUUUUUUUUUGAGAGAGAAUUUUUUUUUUAAUAUUUAUUUUUUAGUAUUUGGCGGACACAACUUCUUUGUUUGUAUGUGGUGCUGAGGAUCGAACCCGGGCCGCACGCAUGCCAGGCGAGCGCGCUACCGCUUGAGCCACAUCUGCAGCCCUGGCCAUGCUAAUUUUGCAAGCAGUUUUGUGUGGUUAGAGCUUCCUGGGCCCACUGAGUGAACCCUAGCUGUGGUAUCUGUCCCAGGGAUAGACGUCACAGACCCCUUUGUGCAAAGAAGACCAUCUUUUAGGACUGUUUUGGCCUGUUGGUGCCCUUGUCCUCAACACACUGCAGCUCAGUGGUGGCUCUGUCCCCUGGGACCCGGCGUGCAUUUCUGGGUGGUAUCACUUGCUGGAGUCCAUGCUGCAGGGUUGUCAGGGCUAGCAGUUUCUCAGAUGGGAUGGCCCUGGACAGGCACUGGUGCCUGAGUCUCUUGGGUGGGUUGUGAGUGAGGUCUUAGAAGGGAAAAGAUGGUUUUCAUUGGUUUCCAUCUUCCAAGGAGCAUGAUGAGGACUGGUACGGUUUGAGGAGUAAUUGCCUCACCUUCAGAGAAGAGGGCAUGUAGUUAUUCUAAUUAAUAUUCAUAAUGGGGAACUUUAGAGAUGAGCUUUAAUUUUUAAACAAAUUUUUUAGCUGUUGAUGGACCUUUAUUUUAUUCAUAUUUAUGUCCCGUGCUGAAAACUGAACCCAGUGCUUCACACAUGUGAGGCAAGUGCUCUACCGCUGAGCCACAACCUCAGCCCAUCAGCUCUAAUUUUUAAAGCCUUUACAUAAAUAGGAGCAUAAAUAUUAUCUAUUUUGAAAUAACCUGAAGACCCUUGAAUCAUUUAAGAAUGACAAAAAACAAACCUGCAUUGCUAGCAAGAUACAGUGAGAAGUUGUGUUAGCAUUAUGUCUCUGUGACAAAAUCAACUUAAACGGAGGAAAGAUUUAUUGACUCACCAUUAUCUGACCCUGCUGCCUUGGCCUGUGGCAGCACAGCACAUUAAGGCGGAAGUGUGUGGCAGAGAAGUCUUGAGCAGUUUUGGCAGCUGGAACAUAAAGAAGAGGAAGGGCCAGAUCCCUAAAGCCCUUGCCGCCUCCCACCAGGUCCCUCUGUGUAAGGGUUCAACCCCCUGCCAAUAGCACCACUAUCUGGGGGUUAACUUCAACAUGGGCCUUUGGUGGGCAUUCCAGAUCCUAGCUAUAACAUAUAUUAAAAAUCAUUUGGGGGCUGGGGAUAUAACUCAGUUGGUAGAGUGCUUCGCUUGCAUGCACAGUGCCCUGGGUCCAAUCCCCAGCACCACCAAAAAAAAAAAAAAAUUAUAUAUAUAUAUAUAUAUAUAUAUAUAUAUAUAUAUAUAUAUAUAUUAUACACACACACACACACGUGUGCGAACACACAUAAAUAAAUAAAUGUCAUUUGGAAGCCUUUUGCAGUAAUGGAUACCCCUAAUCCCUGCGGUUCAGGAGUCAGGGGCAGGAGGACUGGAUUUGAGGCCUGCCUGGGCAUUUAGCAAGAGCCUGUCCAAAAUAAAAUGGGCUGAAAAUGUAGUCAGUGGUAAAGCACCCCUGGGAUCAAUCCUCAGUACUGAAAAAAAAAUUUUUUUUAAUAAUAUCAACCUUCAAGUUGCCCUCAAAAAGAUGACAUAGACAAAGUUUAUGUCUACAGAAUUUUGCAAUAUUGUUUGGAUUCCUCUAUAAUAGUACAUUUUGGGUUGGGGGGCGGUAACCGGGAUUUAACUCAGGGGCACUUGACCACUGAGCCACAUCCACAGCCCUAUUUUGUAUCUUAUUUAGGGUCUUACUGAGCUGUUAAGCACCUCAUCGUUGCUGAGGCUGGCUUUGAUUCUCAGCCUCCUGAGCCGCUGGAUUACAGGCAUGCACUACUGUGCCUGGCUUAAGAGUACAUUUUUUUUUAAACGAUUUUAUCCCAUUUUAGUAAUGGCCCAUGUUCACAGUUCAUGUUAGUGCACUGAACCCCUAUUUAGAUAGGAGUUGCUUUAUUAUUAAACCCAGUUUAAGAAAUAUACACAAUUUUGUUGGGUGCAGGUAUGCACACCUGUAAUCCCAGCUGCUCCAGAGGCUGAGGCAAGAGAAUCACAAGUUCAAAGCCAGCCUCAGCAAUUUAGUGAGGCCUAAGCAACUUAUUGAGACCCUAUUUCAAAUAAAAAAUAAAUUAAAUGGGCCAUAGAUGUGGCUCAGUGGUUAAUGGACUUAGGGUUCAAUCCCUGGUACCUAAAAAAAAAAAAAAAAAAUCCAGUCUGAUUCUUAUAGAUUUAAAUGUACUAUAUCUGUUUUUCAUAUAUAUGUACCUAGUAACAAUGCCAUUAGCUUGAAUUUUUAGGAAAAAAGCAACCAUUUUUAAAUAUACUUAGAUUUCCAAGAGAUUUUCUUUAUUUUAAUAUGGUAUUUUAAGUAAUGAGAUUUCCAAACAGAGAAGUAUAAAUUUUCUCAUGCUGUAUGUAUUCUAUUAUUUUAUUAAAAAAAAACAAAAAACUUCAAGUCUAAGGAGUGUGGUGGCGCACACUUGUAAUCUCAGUAAUUACUCUCAGGAGACUGAAACUGAAGGAUCACUAAUUCAAGGUCAUCCUGGACAGCUUAGCAAGACGGUAUCUCAAAAAUGAAAAAUGGCUGGGAAUGUAGCUUGGUGGUAGAGCAAUCCUGGUUUCAAUCUUCAGUGCACGUGCACACACACACACACACACAAAUCUUACAUAAAAAUUUUAAAAAGGGGUGAGACAGAACACUUGCCUAUCAUGUGUGAGACCCUGGAUUCCAUCCCCAGAACAGAAGGAAGGAAGGAAAAAAAGAAAGAAGGUAAAGAAAGAAGCUAGCUAGCUAUUAGCUAUUUUAAGAAGAGAGAAGUUUGGCUUAAAGUGGAUAAACGUGUAGGUUCCAGCUCCAGCUAGCCAUAAUUGGUCCUCUGUGGGAGAAAGUGGGCCCUCAGCAUAGUCCAGUCAGGGGGAGGAACCCAAGACCUUGAUCUGCCCCCUGGUGCCCAGAAGGAGAUGGAGAGACUCCUGCUCAUUGAAGUGAGAAGAGUAGAUACCUUCUCAGGUACACACAUAGAUAACAUGCAUGUGUGCAAAAACCCCUAUCUAGAAAUUUUCUUUCCCGUUCUCUAUUUGUCUUUACUUGCAAUCUGCAACACGGUAGAUUUUUAAGCCUUGGGAGGGUGUUAUGGUAGAGCACCUGCCUAGCAUAUGAGGCCCUGCCUUUUACCCCAGUGUUGCAGACAACAAUGAUAACAAAAAGUUAUGUCUUUAUAUCCAACAGCAAGAGUGUUCCCACCUCACCGUCUGCCUCAGUGAUGACCCUUGGCAUUUACUUUUAGAAUCACUUUGUGAAAUGAGAAAAUUGUGAUUUUGAUUGAGGUUGCAUUGAAUCAAUUUCAAGAGAAGUGGAUAUCUUUGUAAUCUAAAUAUUCUAGUCCAUAAGUAUACCAUAUCUAUUCACUUGCCCAGGUCUUUAUUUCACUCAAUAGCAAUGUAUUAUGAUUUUCUGGUCAUAACUGAUCAAGAACAAAAGAAGGGACAGAUGACCAAAAUAAAAAGGGGCCACAAUACAGAUCCACAGGCUGUAAUAAAAAGGCAUCUGAACACGUUUAAUGCCAAGAAGUUUUAAUAUGGAGAUAAAACACAGUUUGCCCAGAAAACACAAUUUGUCAAGGUUGACACAAGAAAGCAUUAAUACAUGAUCUUUUAAGUAUUAAAGAAAUUGGUUCAGUAAAUAAAAUUCCUAUCUCAGAGAAAAUGCCAAGCCCAGAUGGUUUCGCCAGCUUAUACCAAACAUUUAAGGAAGAAAUAGCACUUAUCUUCCAUAUGUAUUUUCAGUUAAAGUUGGUUUAUGCUGUGUGUAUUAUUUUAGAAACUGAUUUUUCAGUUUAUGUCAUAGACUUUUCCUUUAACUAUAUAUUCUAUUAUAUAAUUAUAAUGUCAGAAAGGUAUUCCAUUAUAUGACUCGUCUAUCGCUGACUUAAACAAUACUCUUUUUUUUUCUUUCUUUUUUUUUGCAGUGCUGGAGAUAAACCUAGGGCCUCCUGCAUGCCAGGCAAGUGCUCUAUCACUGUGCCACACCCAGCCCUGUCCUCUGUUUUUUGAAUAUUUGAAUUCUUUCUUGUUUCCCCAUAAUUAGGGAGAACAUUUCAGGGAUGGUCAUAAUAAUCAUUUCUUUGUGCAAAUGACAGUUGACUUAGCAUAGACUCUUGAAGAACAAUUUUGGGAACAAAGGUGUGUAAUAUUAAUUCUUUUGCUAUGUGUUACCAACUUUCCCUUUAAAAAGCUCUAUUUAUUUAUAGUCCAUCCCACAGUACAGGACAGGAAUUAUUCCUUUACUUCUCUGUGUGGGAAUCAACGCAGCACAGCAACCUCCACCCGCCUUCUUGCUCUAGCCGUGGCAGGCUCCUUGCAUUCCUGGACUUGGUGGUUCUCCAUCUCACCCAGGCCUGCCUUCUGCAACUGCUGACCCAUUGGCUCUUGCUCCCUCUGAAGCCACGCAUGCUCCUGGGAUCUUCUGACCACAUAGGCUGCAGGAGAUGGUUCUGUAUUUUCAAUAGUUUCCAUUAUCCAUGUUAUUUCAUUUUUUUAAUAUUAUUUUUUUUAGGUGUAGUUGAACAAAAUGCCUUUAUUUUAUUUAUUUUUAUGUGGUGCUGAGGACCGCACCCAGGGCCUCGCAAGUGCUAGGCGAGCGUUCUACCGCUGAGCCACAAUCCCAGCCUCUGUGUUAUUUCAUUUAAAAAAAAAAAAAAAAGUAUUUGAUUUUCUUCCUCAAUAUACAGUGAGCUUCCUGAGACCAGAGGCUCUCUGGCUUCCUAUUGUGUUCCUUACCUGGAGCAGCCUGUUGGCAGAUUCAUUUGCUAGUUUGAUAGGUGAAAAAAUCAUAAUUUGCUUGAGUUUCCCUCCUGUGGUACCUGGUGGACUGAGCUUUCAUCCUGUGACUGGCCAUUUUGCCUCUUGCGCUCCUGAGUCAUGCAUAGCACAUCUGCUACUGGAACAUCUGCCUUCCAAGUAAGGAUCUGUGUAAGAGUGUUGCUGAACAGUGGUGUCCUCUAGUAAUUCCUUUAUGUUUUGUGUAACAGAUUCUGAUACUGGGACUGAGAAGGAACUGUCCAUUUUAAACCAGGAGUGUUCUGAAGAUGUGAAGAGCCCAGCAUUUGUAUCAAGAAGAUUCUCAAGGGCCAAUUCACAGACACCUGUGUUCCAGGAUCCUUGGGACCUGGAGGGGAAGGGAAAAGGGAGCCUGGGAAACACUGCUGGCCAGAGUCUGAAGAAACCCCAUCUGCACAAUAGAGUUUUUAGAGAGGAAUCUGUCCUAUGUAGGGAGCAGCCUCCAAGAGAGAGUGUCCAGGAGUGUUCUUUAAAUGUUGAUAGACAUUUAAAUCCAAACCAAAAUGUUGUUAGACUUCAAAGGAAUAAAACAGGAGAGAGAGUCUUUAAAUGUGAUAUAUGCAGCAAAACCUUCAAAUAUAAUUCAGACCUCCGUCGACAUCAUAGGCGCCACACAGGGGAAAAGCCCUAUGAGUGCAGUUGGUGUGGGCGAGCCUUCACACACAGCGCGAGCCUCAUCCUGCACCGCCGAGUCCACACUGGCAGCAAACCGUUUAAAUGUGAAGAAUGUGGGAAGACUUUUGGGCUCAAUUCCUACCUCAUUCUGCAUCGGAGAAUUCACACUGGAGAAAGACCCUUUGGGUGCAGUGAAUGUGGGAAAGCCUUCAGUCGAAGCUCCAGCCUCAUUCAGCAUCGCGUCAUUCACACAGGAGAGAAGCCUCACAAGUGUGAGGAGUGCGGCAAAGCCUUCAGCCAGAGCCCCCAGUUAACUCAGCACCAGAGGAUCCACACUGGGGAGAAGCCGCACAAGUGCAGUCAGUGUGGCAAGGCCUUCAGCCGGAGCUCCAGCCUCAUUCAGCACCAGAGGAUCCACACUGGGGAGAAGCCCCACAAGUGCAGUCAGUGUGGCAAGGCCUUCAGCCAGAGCUCCAGCCUUUUCCUCCAUCAUAGGGUCCACACUGGAGAAAAGCCCUACGUGUGCCAGGAGUGUGGCCGGGCCUUUGGUUUCAAUUCUCACCUUACUGAACAUACACGGAUUCACACUGGAGAGAAGCCUUAUGUGUGUGGUGAGUGUGGCAGGGCCUUCAGCCGGAGUUCCACUCUGGUGCAGCAUCGCAGAGUGCACACAGGGGAGAAGCCAUAUCAGUGCUCUGAGUGUGGGAAAGCCUUCAGCCAGAGCUCCCAACUCACCCUGCACCAGCGUGUCCACACUGGCGAGAAGCCCUACGAGUGCCGGGCCUGUGGGAAGGCCUUUAGCCGGAGGUCAACCCUCACACAGCAUCAGCACAUUCACACGGGAGAUAAUCCUCGCCAGCGUAGAAAGGGUGGCCCCAGCCUGAUGCCCACUGGAGAGCGACGUGGCAGAGCCUUCAGCCAUGGUGCAGACCUCAUUCUGCACUGGACAAUCCACACUGGUGAGAAAUCCCUGGGGUGCAGUGAAUGUGGGAAGACUUUCAGCCCUACCCCACAACCCGUUGAGUACCAGAGAAGCCGCCACGCUGGGGAGAAACCAUAUAAAUGUCAAGAAUGUGGAAAGGCUGUCAGCGAGGGUUCAGACCUUACUCAACAUCAGGUAGCUCAUGUUGGAGAGAAGCCCCCUCUAAAUGAUGGCUCUGAAAGAUAUUUUAUUCAUAUCAAAAAGAUUUUCCAAGAAAGACAUUUUUAAGUUAUAAAAUUAGGAAACAGUUUAGCAAUUGUUCAUUUUACGUUGGAUAGGCUAGCAAAAUGAAAGUUAAAUAAGAGGGUUUACAUAUUACCAGCAAAUCAAAAUAAACAGGUUGGAUGACUAUUAAAGUCAUUAAAUUUGAAAGUAAACAUGAGAGAAUUCAAUCUGGAAAAUACUGUUGUAUAGAGGUUAUUGUUGUGCUCAGGGUGACCCCUGUCGCACUACCUUCAGACACUGAGAGGAGGGGGAGCACCAAUAGUGAGCCACUGGCUCCAGCCCCAAGGUGUCACUACCUUGUGUCUCCCUCCUGCCUGAGCUCAGCUUGUUAUUGGGAAUACCCAGUUCCAGUACCGCUGGGCAGGGUGAGCCUUCCCUUACCAGCCUGCAGGCAGGGUGUCCUUCCUCCCUUGGAGCCCAGUUUGGGCAUUUGUAGAGUGAAGAUUGAUGUGUUUUCAGUUCUGAGAUCUGCAAUUGAGCAGAGGCCUCGGGGCCAAUGAGGCCAAGCUGCCAUGAAGCCCCAUUCUCAAGAGCUGCAAAAAGGAAAGAAAAUCCUCACAAUGCUCGAAGAAAAUAGGAGAGGAAAUAACUGCAGUUAAGACACACCAAGAAACAACCAGGCUUGUUGUUAUUUUUGUUUUUCUUUGUUUGUUUGCGUGUUUUGAAGUGCUAGGGAUAGAGCCCAGGGCCUUGUGCAUAUAGGCAAGUGACCUACCACUGAGCUACACCCCAACCCCAAAGGCCAACCUUCUUGAGUACAGUUUACAUACAAUAAGAUUCACUCUUUAGCAUACAGCUCUGUGGGUUUCAGAGUCACAUGGUGUGCAGUCGCCACAAUCAAGCAUACAACCUGCCUCAGCACCCACAGCUCUCCAUGCCCAAACGGGAAGCCCUAACCCCUGCAUACCCUGCUUUGUUUUCUGUUGCCAUGGCUUCACCAUUCCCAGAAUCUCAUCCUGUGGAGCCAUUUCAAUCUGGUGUUUUUUACUGAAUGUAUUGGAGAGUCACCCAUGUUGUUGCAUGUAUCCGUAGUUCAUUCUUUUUACUGCCCAGCAGCAUUCCAUGUUAUGGAUAUAUGGAUGGAGCUGUUCAACCAUUCCUCCAUUAAGGGAUUCUUGAGUGUUCCCAUUUAUAGUAUAUAAGAAUAAAGUACCUAUAAACACGUAACUAUAAUCUGUUUUGUGAACCUAACCUUUCAGUUCUUUUAAAUGUCUCAUUUGCAUUGCUGGGUCACUAGUAAUCUUAACUUUUUAAGAAAGAGUUUCACUGAGAGUCUAAGGGCAUGAGGGCCCUUGAAACCUUGAUUUCCAUUCUGAGUCUGUAGGAAGAAUCUUUUCUAUCCUCUACUUAAUUCCCUCCAUGCCCAGUGGGACAUCACCCUUUGGGACCAGGAUACAGCUAUGUGGUAGAGGAUUUGCCUGUCAUAUAUGAAGCCCUGGGUUCCAUCCCCAGCACCAUCAGAUCACCUUUCAAAAUCCCUUCCUUAAUGCCUCUGCUCUUACUGUGUUGUUUUGUAUUUCAGUGCUGGGGAUGAACCCAGGGCCCUGCACUUGUUAGGAUGUGCUAUUGAGCCACAUACUCAGCCCCUUUUCUUAGGGAACUUGGGGUCAUGUUUGUGUUUGGUUUGACACUGUUUCUGUGGUUUGCUCCACUUAUUCCCCCUAACUUGUUUUAUGUCUCAUGCUAUAAAUUUCUUAAAGCCAGAACCUCUUCUGGAUGUAGUCCCAGUGGAAGGAUCUGCAAAUCAUGGAGGUGGCAGUGGCUUAUCUGAAGGACUAUGAUCUCUUUCUGACCUCCGGCACAGCAUCUGAUCUAAGGAGUAGCUUCCACUCUUGUAUUCUGCAUCACCAUAGCAACCAUCUUGUUUCACUUUUUCUACCUACUUCUACAUUAUGCUGGGAGCUCUUUGUAGCCAGAGUCUGUCAUAUGCCCUUUAUUAUUCUGUGAGGGUUUUUUGUUUGUUUGGUAUUGAGAUUGAACCCAGGGCCUCACCCGUGCUAGGCAAACACUCUACCACAGAGCUACAUUUCCAGCCCUUUUUUAUGUUUAAUACUAGGGAUUGAACUCAGGGACACUCAAC
rnacentral:lncRNA from 1 species